rnacentral:rRNA from 1 species
AACAGGAUUAGAUACCNUGGUAGUCCAUGCUGUAAACGAUGAGUGCUAAGUGUUGGGAGGUUUCCGCCUNUCAGUGCUGCAGCUAACGCAUUAAGCACUCCGNCCUGGGGAGUACGACCGCAAGGUUAAAAACUCAAAGGAAUUGACGGNGGCCCGCACAAGCGGUGGAGCAUGUGGUUUAAUUNGAAGCAACGNGAAGAACCUUACCAGGUCUUGACAUCUAGUGCCAACUUAAGAGAUUAGGCGUUCCCUUCGGGGACACUAAGACAGGUGGUGCAUGGCUGUCGUCAGCUCGUGUCGUGAGAUGUUGGGUUAAGUCCCGCAACGAGCGCAACCCUUAUUAUUAGUUGCCAGCAUUAAGUUGGNCACUCUAAUGAGACUGCCGGUGACAAACCGGAGGAAGGUGGGGAUGACGUCAAGUCAUCAUGCCCCUUAUGACCUGGGCUACACACGUGCUACAAUGGGCAGUACAACGAGGAGCGAACUUGUGAAGGCAAGCGAAUCUCUGAAAGCUGUUCUCAGUUCGGACUGUAGGCUGCAACUCGCCUACACGAAGCUGGAAUCGCUAGUAAUCGCGGAUCAGCACGCCGCGGUGAAUACGUUCCCGGGCCUUGUACACACCGCCCGUCACACCAUGAGAGUUUGUAACACCCAAAGCCGGCCGGAUAACCUAGUUUACUAGGAGUCAGCCGU